AUUUCGCACGACUUUACUCGCGAUUCAUCAAUUUUUCAAUGUUUAGUUCAUCUAUCCUAUUCGAUUCUAUAAUUCUAUUCGUGAUUGAAGAGUAUUUAUGGAUUGGAAUUGACUAGUUUGUCAUCUAGGUAUUGUCGAGACGUUCCGUUAGAACGACGAGUUAGGUUGAUUGUGUUUUUUUAGAUGUUUCGAAAAAGAUAUAGGUGUUGGGGCUCCAGACUGCGAAUUUUGGGGCUGUAGUGUUUCCUGUUAUGUAUUAUUGAUUAAACCUUCUCUUAUCUUUAAUUUCACUCGAACAUUGAUCCUUGA